rnacentral:rRNA from 1 species
GACGAACGCUGGCGGCGUGCUUAACACAUGCAAGUCGAACGAAAAGAGGGAAAGAGCUUGCUCUUUCCGGAAUUGAGUGGCAAACGGGUGAGUAACACGUAAACAACCUGCCUUCAGGAUGGGGACAACAGACGGAAACGACUGCUAAUACCGAAUAAGUUCCAAGGGCCGCAUGGCCCAUGGAAGAAAAGGUGGCCUCUACCUGUAAGCUAUCGCCUGAAGAGGGGUUUGCGUCUGAUUAGCUGGUUGGGGGGGUAACGGCCCACCAAGGCGACGAUCAGUAGCCGGUCUGAGAGGAUGAACGGCCACACUGGAACUGAGACACGGUCCAGACUCCUACGGGAGGCAGCAGUGGGGAAUCUUCCGCAAUGGGCGAAAGCCUGACGGAGCAACGCCGCGUGAGUGAUGACGGCCUUCGGGUUGUAAAACUCUGUGAUCCGGGACGAAAAGGCAGAGUGCGAAGAACAAACUGCAUUGACGGUACCGGAAAAGCAAGCCACGGCUAACUACGUG